UAAUACAUGCAAGUCGAACGCUUUGUGGUUCAACUGAUUUGAAGAGCUUGCUCAGAUAUGACGAUGGACAUUGCAAAGAGUGGCGAACGGGUGAGUAACACGUGGGAAACCUACCUCUUAGCAGGGGAUAACAUUUGGAAACAGAUGCUAAUACCGUAUAACAAUGACAACCGCAUGGUUGUUAUUUAAAAGAUGGUUCUGCUAUCACUAAGAGAUGGUCCCGCGGUGCAUUAGCUAGUUGGUAAGGUAAUGGCUUACCAAGGCGAUGAUGCAUAGCCGAGUUGAGAGACUGAUCGGCCACAAUGGGACUGAGACACGGCCCAUACUCCUACGGGAGGCAGCAGUAGGGAAUCUUCCACAAUGGGCGAAAGCCUGAUGGAGCAACGCCGCGUGUGUGACGAAGGGUUUCGGCUCGUAAAACACUGUUGUAAGAGAAGAAUGACAUUGAGAGUAACUGUUCAAUGUGUGACGGUAUCUUACCAGAAAGGAACGGCUAAAUACGUGCCAGCAGCCGCGGUAAUACGUAUGUUCCAAACGUUAUCCGGAUUUAUUGGGCGUAAAGCGAGCGCAGACGGUUAUUUAAGUCUGAAGUGAAAGCCCUCAGCUCAACUGAGGAAUUGCUUUGGAAACUGGAUGACUUGAGUGCAGUAGAGGAAAGUGGAACUCCAUGUGUAGCGGUGAAAUGCGUAGAUAUAUGGAAGAACACCAGUGGCGAAGGCGGCUUUCUGGACUGUAACUGACGUUGAGGCUCGAAAGUGUGGGUAGCAAACAGGAUUAGAUACCCUGGUAGUCCACACCGUAAACGAUGAGUGCUAGGUGUUUGAGGGUUUCCGCCCUUAAGUGCCGCAGCUAACGCAUUAAGCACUCCGCCUGGGGAGUACGACCGCAAGGUUGAAACUCAAAGGAAUUGACGGGGACCCGCACAAGCGGUGGAGCAUGUGGUUUAAUUCGAAGCAACGCGAAGAACCUUACCAGGUCUUGACAUCCCUUGACAACUCCAGAGAUGGAGCGUUCCCUUCGGGGACAAGGUGACAGGUGGUGCAUGGUUGUCGUCAGCUCGUGUCGUGAGAUGUUGGGUUAAGUCCCGCAACGAGCGCAACCCUUAUUACUAGUUGCCAGCAUUUAGUUGGGCACUCUAGUGAGACUGCCGGUGACAAACCGGAGGAAGGUGGGGAUGACGUCAAAUCAUCAUGCCCCUUAUGACCUGGGCUACACACGUGCUACAAUGGCGUAUACAACGAGUUGCCAACCCGCGAGGGUGAGCUAAUCUCUUAAAGUACGUCUCAGUUCGGAUUGUAGGCUGCAACUCGCCUACAUGAAGUCGGAAUCGCUAGUAAUCGCGGAUCAGCACGCCGCGGUGAAUACGUUCCCGGGUCUUGUACACACUGCCCGUCACACCAUGAGAGUUUGUAACACCCAAAGCCGGUGGGGUAACCUUCGGGAGCCAGCCGUCUAAGGUGGGACAGAUGAUUAGGGUGAAGUCGUAACAAGGUAACCA
rnacentral:rRNA from 1 species